rnacentral:rRNA from 1 species
GGCGGCGUGCCUAUACAUGCAGUCGAGCGGACAGAAGGGAGCUUGCUCCCGGAUGUUAGCGGCGGACGGGUGAGUAACACGUGGGUAACCUGCCUGUAAGACUGGGAUAACUCCGGGAAACCGGAGCUAAUACCGGAUAGUUCCUUGAACCGCAUGGUUCAAGGAUGAAAGACGGUUUCGGCUGUCACUUACAGAUGGACCCGCGGCGCAUUAGCUAGUUGGUGAGGUAACGGCUCACCAAGGCGACGAUGCGUAGCCGACCUGAGAGGGUGAUCGGCCACACUGGGACUGAGACACGGCCCAGACUCCUACGGGAGGCAGCAGUAGGGAAUCUUCCGCAAUGGACGAAAGUCUGACGGAGCAACGCCGCGUGAGUGAUGAAGGUUUUCGGAUCGUAAAGCUCUGUUGUUAGGGAAGAACAAGUGCAAGAGUAACUGCUUGCACCUUGACGGUACCUAACCAGAAAGCCACGGCUAACUACGUGCCAGCAGCCGCGGUAAUACGUA